rnacentral:rRNA from 1 species
GGGAAUUGCGGGCGCGAAUUCGCCCUUCAGGCCUAACCAUGCAAGUCGAACGAGGUGCUUCUUGUAGCAAUACGAGGAGUAUCCUAGUGGCGAACGGGUGAGUAACGCGUGGGUGACCUGCCCCAAAGUGUGGGAUAGCAGAUCGAAAGAUCUGCUAAUACCGCAUGUGGUUAUCGGGUUUAGAAAUCGGUAACUAAAGCAGCAAUGCGCUUUGGGAGGGACCUGCGUCCCAUCAGCUAGUUGGUGAGGUAACGGCUCACCAAGGCGACGACGGGUAGGGGACCUGAGAGGGUGGCCCCCCACAAUGGAACUGAAACACGGUCCAUACACCUACGGGUGGCAGCAGUAGGGAAUAUUGCUCAAUGGGCGAAAGCCUGAAGCAGCAACGCCGCGUGUGCGAUGAAGGCCUUCGGGUCGCAAAGCACUUUUCUGAGAGAUGAGAAAGGACAGUAUCUCAGGAAUAAGUCUCGGCUGACUACGUGCCAGCAGCCGCGGUAAAACGUAGGAGGCAAGCGUUAUCCGGAUUCACUGGGCGUAAAGCGCGUGCAGGCGGUUCGGUAAGUUGGGCGUGAAAUCUCCUGGCUUAACUAGGAGAGGUCGUUCAAUACUACCGGACUUGAGAGUGGUAGAGGAAGAUGGAAUUCCCGGUGUAGUGGUGAAAUGCGUAGAUAUCGGGAGGAACACCAGUGGCGAAAGCGAUCUUCUGGACCAUUUCUGACGCUCAGACGCGAAAGCUAGGGUAGUAAACGGGAUUAGAGACCCCGGUAAUCCUAGCCGUAAACGAUGUAAACUUGGCGUCGGUGGCUUAACACCAUCGGUGGCGCAGCUAACGCGAUAAGUUUACCGCCUG